AUCAGCCUCCUGAGAGCUGGGACUACAGGCGCCUGCCACCACAUCCGGUUAAUUUUUGUAUUUUUAGUAGAGAUGGGGUUUUGCCAUGUUGGCCAGGCUGGUCUUGAACUCCUGAGCUCAGGUGAUCUGCCCACCUCGGCCUCCCAAAGUUCUGGGAUUACAGGCGUGAGCCAUGGUGCCCAGCCUGGCUCCUGUUUUUUGAGACAGGGUUUCACCCUGUUUCCCAGGUUGGAGUAUAGUGGUGCCGUCAUGACUUACUGCAGCCUUGAACUCUUUGGCUCAAGCAGUCCUCCCCACUCAGCCUCUCUAGUAGCUGGGGCUCCAGGCAUGAAUCACCGUGCCAGACUAAGUUUUUUUAAAAUUUUUUGUAGAGAGAAUCUCUCUCUGUUGCACAGGCUAUUCUUGAACUCCUAGGCUCAAGUGAUCCUCCUGCUUCAGCCUCCGAAAGUGCUGGGAUUACAGUUGUGAGUCACUGUGCCUGGCUCUUUUAAUCUUGAAAACUCUGGGAAGAGCUCACUUCUGUUUAGGAGGCUGCCUUGGGAACUGCAUCUCCUGGGCUGGUGCUCUGUGCUGCUUGGAGUCUGCAGACCCUAUCUGGGUCGCUUGGCCUCCCGUGCACAAGCUGCCAGAAUGGAGGCCCCAUUCUCAAUGUGGGGGCUGCCCAAAGAGCAGGGAGCUUCCCACAGGACAGAGGCUGGGCACCUGCUUGGCCUGGUUCUUCCUUUUCCCAGGGCUCCAACACCCACCCCCUCAGGUCCUCCCAAACCCUGCAGGUCCCUGGCCUGGUCCGUCCACACCUACACUCAGGAAUCUCUACACAUCUCUGAGUUGCUGCAUCUGUCUUCAGGCACAGCCCACCAGCCCCCCUGGGUACCCAAAGACACCGCAAAUAUCAGCCAUUCCAGACAACGUCCUCCUCCCGUGUCCCUAUCUCAUGGAGUAAUGCCUCUAAUUCAGCCACACCAAGACCCCACGCUCCACAUCCCCUAGAACUCUCAUCUCCUGUGGCCCAACAUGGCCCUUCCUUUCAGCAGUGGGAUGUGGGAAGGAUCAAGGUCACCCUUGUCCAAAUCCCAUGCAGACAACGGUGUUGGAGUCUUGGGCCCAAAGACCAGCUCCUAGAACCUGCAGGGAAGCAACGGCACGUUCCAUCUCUCCCCAUGCCACUGAGGAAUCAUUGGUGGCAGGAUUCUCAGCAGGCAUGGCCGUGGGUGCACAGAACAGAGAAAGGAUGGCCUGGACCACACACAUCACUGUGUGCAGAUGCUUUCCUAGACACUGCAGCCAAGGACACAGAGGCUCAGAGAGAAUAACCUCCAUCUCCUGGGUCCCAGCGAUUCUCCUGCCUCAGCCUCUUCCUAUUUCACAAGUAGGGAAACUGAAGCCCAGGUAGGCAAGCCUGACUUGCUGGAGUCACACAGGAAGUUGGCAGCUCUGCUCCAUCCCUGGGAUCUGGAGCCCCUGCUCUGGGGAAGGAGAGGUGGGGCGCUGCCUUCCCAGAGUCCCCUCAAGCUGGCAGGGACGGCUGUACCCCCAGGGUCAGAGGAGAACUAAAAGGAGCGGAAGCUGGCCUGGGUCCAGGGAGAGACCUCGUGUUUGCCCAAAAGGGAGCUGGAGAGGGGCAGCUGGGCCCAUAUGCAGGGAGGAGCUGCAGGGAGCUGGUGGCGGGGCAGCAAAGAGAAGUGGAUUUGGUGGGUAGAGGGGCCCCUCCUUGGUUCUAGUCCUCCCCGCAGCCCCUUGCAAACAGGCGGGGCUCUCCUGUCCUUCUUGUCUCCUGCAGCAAGCCCUACAUGAAGAGGCCUCUUUGGUGAGUGGCAGCUCAACCUCUGCUAAAUGCCUCCAGUGAUGGGGAGUUCACUACCUUCCAAAGUUUUUAAAAGAUGUUAACCACUGCUAUUCAAGAACAAUUCUAGAAUUUUUUUUUUUUUGAAAGACAAGGUCUCAUUCUGUCUCGCAGGCCAGAGUGCAGUGGUGUGAUCAUAGCUCACUGCAGCUUUGACUUCCUGGGCUCAAGCAAUCCUCCCUCCUCAGCCUCCUGAGUACCUGAGACUACAGAUGUGCACCACCACACUGGCUCAUUGUUUUCAUUUUUUGUAGAGACAGGAUCUCACUAUGUUGCCCAGGCUGGUCUCCUGGCUUCAAGCAAUCCUCCUGCCUUGGCCUCCCAAAGUGCUGGGAUUACAGGCGUGAGCCACUGCAUCUGGCCUUUUUUUUUUGGAGAUAGAGUCUCGCUCUGUCGCCCAGGGUGGAGUGCAGUGGCGUGAUCUCGGCUCAUUGCAACCUCCGCCUUCCGGGUUCACACCAUUCUCCUGCCUCAGCCUCCCGAGUAGCUGGGAUUACAGGCAUCUGCCAACCAUGCCUGGCUAAUUUUUGUAUUUUUUGGUGGAGACAGGGUCUCACCAUGUUGGCUAGGCUGGUUUCGAACUCCCGACCUCAGGUGAUCUACCCGCCUCAGCCUCCCAAAGUCCUGGGAUUACAGGCUGAGCCACCGCGACCGGCCCUGCUGUUGCUUCUGAGGUUUGAAAACCGCUGCCUCAAUGCUCCUGAUUCAGCUCUUCUUACCCAAAGGUUCCCCCACCUCAUCUACUCUGUUCCUGCACAGUCGCCCUUUUCUCUGAUGCCCCGGGCAGGUUUCUCUCUGCCAGCUCCACGCUUCUGGAGUCCCCCAUCCGUCUUGGGGCCCAGCUGCCCACUGUCUGGGUUCAGACCUUCUCAACACUCCCUGGCUUCUCUGCCCUAGUUUUGCCUUCUCCAAUCCACUCUUGGUGGGUGGAAGUACGGUUACCAUGGUAACUUGAAGACAACGCAAAUCUGAUUGUAUCAUUACAAUGACUGGGAAAACCUCCAGUGCCACAAAAUAAAGCUCAAGUCACUAGCUUUGCAGUCCAGGCCCUUUACCAUUCCGGCAGCAUUUCUGGGGGCUAUUCUCCUUCCCCCCACUGCACAACCCCGCCUGGCCACCCCAGGCUCAGGCUGCAGAACAGCGUAGACCAGGGAGUGGCUUUGGGGUCAUGCUAACUACCUGGUUUUUGUCUCUUUCAGGCUGUUUGCUCAGUUGCAAAAUGGGAAGGACAACAGCACCCGCCUCACAGGCUAAGAGGCUGUGUGUGAAAAGCCCGCAGCACAGGAUCUGGCACGCGUGGACGUGCGGGAUGGGAGGAGGGGAUUUCCCAGCUCCUCAUCUCUGCAGGGACUGGCCUUGGCCUAGGGAACACUAGCUGUCCAGGGAGGGGGAGCUUUCCCUGAGCCCCCCGAUGUGUGGCAGGCAGAGGAGAGCAAGCUACUUCUGGGAGGGGAGUUGUGGGGAAGGGCAAGUUAGUCUUUACUGAGGGUGGCAGUGAGCUGGCACUUUGGUCUCACCUCGGCUGCAGAAACCCACCCUGCUCCCGUCUUAUUUCCUGGGGAUUUCAGCUGUGUGCAGGCACAGAUGCAUCUCCCAAGUGCCUCAUGCUUGCCUUGAUCUCCUCUCCUUCCUCUGGCCAGUCCUGAACCUCUUGGUGAUCCACGGCGGCACCUCUGUGUCCUACAUCCUUCUCUGGCCAUCUCCUUCCCUCCUUCCAGCCCUCCCUCUAGGACCCUGACCCCAACCAUCCUUCAUCCCCAUGGGGACAUUCAGUCCACUGACUCAUCACCCUCCCCUGUCCCUCUGUGAGAGAAGGAGCAGGCAGAGAGGAUCUUGCAAGAGCCUUCAGCAACUCUCUUCCACCCAUCCUGUUGCUUGCUGCUUUUUUUUUUUUUUUUUCCAAAAAAAUAGAGAUGGGGUCUUGCUAUGUGGCUGGUCUCAAACUCCUGGGCUCAAGUGAUCCUCCUGCCUCGGCCUCCCAAAGUGCUGGAUUACAGGCGUGAGCCACCACACCCGGCUCCGUUCCCUUUCUAAGCAGGGUGCUCCUUUUCUUGCCAUUUCCCCCAUCCUCCUUCCUCUCCCACAGCUCACUUCCCUCUCUACUGAAUCUGCUGAAGAUCAUGCAGCUGCUGUUCCUGCCUCUAAAACCCUCUCUUGGCUGGGUGUGGUGGGUGACAUAUGUAAUCCCAGCACUUUGGGAGGCUGAGGCAGGAGAAUCACUUGAACCCGGGAGGCGGAGGUUGCAGUGAGCCGAGAUUGCGCCACUGCACUCCAGCCUAGGUGAUAGAGCAAGACUCUGUCCCCUCCCUCCACCAAAAAAAUAAAGCCCUCUCUGCAUCCAUUCCACUCUCCACUCUUGCUCAUUCUCUCCUGCCCUCUAAAAGGUGAUCUGUCUUUGGCAGAUUCAAUCACUUGCCUUUCUCAUUCUCUCCUGAGCCCACUAUUCCACUCUGGUCCCCACCACUUCCCCCAAAACUGCUUUGAACCAUCGCACUGCAACCUGUUGCUUAGCCCCUCCAUCUAGUCUCAGGCGUUAGGACUGACUGCCCAGCAGAGGCUGGUGCAACCAAUCACCUCCUUUAGUAAGUUUCUCCCUGGGCUUCACCUCUUCACCUGUGGGCUUUCCACCUGUCUCUCUCUUUUUUUUUUAAGACAGUCUCCUCUGUUGCCAGGCUGGAAUGCCGUGGCGCAAUCUCAGCUCACUGCAACCUCUACCUCCUGGGUUCAAGCGAUUCUCCUGCCUCAGGCUCCCAAGUAGCUGGGAUUACAGGUGCCCGCCACCACACCGGGCUAAUUUUUGUAUUUUUAGUAGAGUCGGGGUUUCACCAUGUUGCCCAGGCUGGUCUCGAACUCCUGACCUUACGUGAUCCACCCGCCUCAGCCUCCCAAAGUGCUGGGAUUACAGGCGUGAGCCACCGCACCUGGCAGUCUCCCUAAUUUAAUUCAGUGCCACUGCGGGCAGGUGGGGUGUGGCCUGGUUGGGCAGUAUAGAGCUACCAGCUACCAAUGGUGUUCAGCCCUCAGGGUCGAGCGUGGGUUGUCUCAGCCCCUUGCAGGCAGGGCUGGAGUUCCUUCUGGUGCGAGUUGGGGGACCCAGCUCCCCCAUCCCUCUGCAACCCCAGGCCCCCCACCAGGUCCCCUCUGGUUCAGCCUGGUGCCUUCCAGCACCCCUGGCCCCCAGAAAUCCCUGGUCCACAGCUCCCUUGACCUGAGGCCUGAAAUUGACCCACUGCCCCCUGAGGCUUGGUCCAAGUCCAAGUAUGCCUUCCUCUCCAGCCAGAUGCCUGCCUGCCACUCAGCAUGUCAGAGCAGGCAGGGCCUCUAGAUUUUAAUGGGGAAACUGAGGCACUGAGGGCAGAUGUGAUGUCCCCAGUUGGGAAAACAUUAAAGACAUUCUGGGCUUCUCUCUCUUUUUUUUAGAGACAAGAUCUCACUCUGUCAUGCACGCUGGAAUCAUGGCUCAUUGCAGCCUCCAACUCCUAGGCUCAAGGGAUCCUUCCACCUCAGCCUCCCGAGUAGCUGGGAGUACAGGUGUUCGUCCCCACCAUGUCUGGCUAAUUUAAAAAAAUGUCUUUGCAGGAUGGGAUCUUGCUAUGUUUCCCAGGCUGGUCUCAAACUCCUGGGCUCAAGUGAUUUUCCCAUCUUGGCCUCCCAAAAUACUGGGAUUAUACGUAUAAGCCACCACGUCUGGCCUGAGUCAUCUCUUUUGACCCAGAACAAAACCAGUCCAGGAGUGGCUGUACUCCCCAGGAGUGUACACUGGGGAGGCCCACAGCUCCGGGGUGCAGUGGGGCUCUUGCAAUUUAAUGACUGAUUCAUCUUCAAAAAAGCACAAUCUCAGCCAGGCGUGGUGGCUCAUGCCUGUAAUCCCAGCACUUUGGGAGGUUGAGGCGGGCUGAUCACCUGAGGUCAGAAGUUUGAGAUCAGCCUGGCCAACAGGGUGAAACCCUGUCUCUACUAAAAAUACAAAAAUUAGCCAGGUGUCGUGGUGCACACCCGUAAUUCCAGCUACUUGGGAGGCUGAGGCAGACGAAUCACUUGAACUCGGGAGGUGGAGAUCGCAGUGAGCCAAGAUCGUGCCAUUGCACUCCAGCCUGGGCAACAAGAAGCGAAACUCCAUCUUAAAACAAACAAAACAAAACAAAAACAAAAAAGCAUAAUCUCUUUCAGAAUUUUUACCUUCUUGGUGUGGUUCUGUUAGGAAAGGCUUCCAUGGGAACCUUCAAUAAGUGACCUAAAAAAAAAUCUCAGAGCAAUUCCUUUUUUUUUUUUUUUUUUUUUCAGACAGCAUCAUGCUCUGUCACCCAGGCUGGAGUGCAGUUGCACAAUCUCAGCUCACUGCAACCUCCACCUCCUGGGCUCAAGCCUUCCUCCUGCUUUGGCCUCCUGAGUAGCUGAGACUACAGGUGCAUGCCACCGUGCCCGGCUAAUUUUUAAAUUUUUUGUAGAAACGGGGUCUUGUUAUGUUGCCCAGGCUGACCUCAAACUCUUGGCCUCAAGCGAUCCUCCUACCUUGUCCUCCCAAAGUGCUGGGAUUACAGGGGUGAACCACUGUUCCUGGUUUAGAGCCAUUCUUUUUUUUUUUUUUUUUUUUUUUGCUUUGUGGUUUUGAGACGGAGUUUCACUCUUGUUGCCCAGGCUGGAGUGCAACGGCAUGAUCUCGGCUCACUGCAACCUCCGACUUCCAGUUUCAAGCGAUUCUCCUGCCUCAGCCUCCCGAGUAGCUGGGAUUACAGGCAUCCGCCAUCAUGCCCAGCUAAUUUUUUUGUAUUUUUAGUAGAGACGGGGUUUCACCAUGUUGGGCAGGCCGGUCUCGAACUCCUGAUCUCGUGAUCUGCCCGCCUCGGCCUCCCAAAGUGCUGGGAUUAUAGGCAUGAGCUACCACGUCCGGCCCUAGAGCCAUUCUUAACAGGGUUUGUCUCCCUGGAAACUUCCCGAAGCCUCACCCUCCCAGGAAUUCCCUGCUAAGUGCCACAGUCAUCUCUUCACCACUCGGUUUCCACUCUCCCAUCCUUGCACCGAGAUCCCACUGUUAGGCCUUUUUCAAGCACGGACCUUCUCAUGCUCAGUCUCUCUGUGGUGUGGAAGUGUCUACUGGGUGGGCCUCACAGAAGGUUCCAGGCCCUGGUACAAGCCCAAGGGAAAUGAUGAUCCAAAAUGGACUCCGAUAAAGUUUCUGCCACUCUGCAUUGGGGGCUUUUGGUAGGAGUCCAGUUCAAUUUUAUAAAAAUAAAAAUACAUGUCUCGCA
rnacentral:lncRNA from 1 species